GAUGAACGCUGGCGGCGUGCCUAACACAUGCAAGUCGAACGGAGUCGUUUUGGAAAUCUCUUCGGAGAUGGAAUUCUCGACUUAGUGGCGGACGGGUGAGUAACGCGUGAGCAAUCUGCCUUUAAGAGGGGGAUAACAGUCGGAAACGGCUGCUAAUACCGCAUAAAGCAUUAAAUUCGCAUGUUUUUGAUGCCAAAGGAGCAAUCCGCUUUUAGAUGAGCUCGCGUCUGAUUAGCUAGUUGGCGGGGUAACGGCCCACCAAGGCGACGAUCAGUAGCCGGACUGAGAGGUUGAACGGCCACAUUGGGACUGAGACACGGCCCAGACUCCUACGGGAGGCAGCAGUGGGGAAUAUUGCGCAAUGGGGGAAACCCUGACGCAGCAACGCCGCGUGAUUGAAGAAGGCCUUCGGGUUGUAAAGAUCUUUAAUCAGGGACGAAACAAAUGACGGUACCUGAAGAAUAAGCUCCGGCUAACUACGU
rnacentral:rRNA from 1 species